UGAGUAACACGUGGGUGAUCUGCCCUGCACUUUGGGAUAAGCCUGGGAAACUGGGUCUAAUACCGAAUACACCCUGCUGGUCGCAUGGCCUGGUGGGGGAAAGCUUUUGCGGUGUGGGAUGGGCCCGCGGCCUAUCAGCUUGUUGGUGGGGUGAUGGCCUACCAAGGCGACGACGGGUAGCCGGCCUGAGAGGGUGACCGGCCACACUGGGACUGAGAUACGGCCCAGACUCCUACGGGAGGCAGCAGUGGGGAAUAUUGCACAAUGGGCGCAAGCCUGAUGCAGCGACGCCGCGUGGGGGAUGACGGCCUUCGGGUUGUAAACCCCUUUCGCCAGGGACGAAGCGCAAGUGACGGUACCUGGAGAAGAAGGACCGGCCAACUACGUGCCAGCAGCCGCGGUAAUACGUAGGGUCCGAGCGUUGUCCGGAAUUACUGGGCGUAAAGAGCUCGUAGGUGGUUUGUCGCGUUGUCCGUGAAAACUCACAGCUUAACUGUGGGCGUGCGGGCGAUACGGGCAGACUAGAGUACUGCAGGGGAGACUGGAAUUCCUGGUGUAGCGGUGGAAUGCGCAGAUAUCAGGAGGAACACCGGUGGCGAAGGCGGGUCUCUGGGCAGUAACUGACGCUGAGGAGCGAAAGCGUGGGGAGCGAACAGGAUUAGAUACCCUGGUAGUCCACGCCGUAAACGGUGGGUACUAGGUGUGGGUUUCCUUCCUUGGGAUCCGUGCCGUAGCUAACGCAUUAAGUACCCCGCCUGGGGAGUACGGCCGCAAGGCUAAAACUCAAAGGAAUUGACGGGGGCCCGCACAA
rnacentral:rRNA from 1 species